rnacentral:rRNA from 1 species
UACGUAGGGCGCAAGCGUUGUCCGGAAUUAUUGGGCGUAAAGGGCUCGUAGGCGGUUUGUCGCGUCGGGAGUGAAAACACGGGGCUUAACCCCGUGCCUGCUUCCGAUACGGGCAGACUAGAGGUAUGCAGGGGAGAACGGAAUUCCUGGUGUAGCGGUGAAAUGCGCAGAUAUCAGGAGGAACACCGGUGGCGAAGGCGGUUCUCUGGGCAUUACCUGACGUGAGGAGCGAAAGUGUGGGGAGCGAACAGG